rnacentral:rRNA from 1 species
UGAAUACGGGAUGCUACGGCGUCGAAGCAGUCUAUGUCAUACUUCCAAGAAAAGCUCGCACUGUCAUAAACAAAUAAUGCCUGUACCAUAACCGACACAGGUGGGUAGGUAGAGUAUACUAAGGGGCGCGAGAUAACUCUCUCUAAGGAACUCGGCAAAAUGACUCCGUAACUUCGGGAGAAGGAGUGCCUUAUUUAUAAGGUUGCAAUAACAAGAUCCAAGCAACUGUUUAUCAAAAACACAGGUCUCCGCUAAGUCGUAAGACGAUGUAUGGGGGCUGACGCCUGCCCAGUGCCAGAAGGUUAAAGAAGUUGGUUAGCAUUCGCGAAGCUGAUAACUGAAGUCCUGGUGAACGGCGGCCGUAACGGUAACGGUCCUAAGGUAGCGAAAUUCCUUGUCGGGUAAGUUCCGACCCGCACGAAAGGCGUAAUGAUUUGGAUACUGUCUCGGAGAGGGGCUCGGUGAAAUAGACUUGUCUGUGAAGAUGCGGACUACCUGCACCAGGACAGAAAGACCCUAUGAAGCUUUACUGUAACUUGAGAUUGAAAUUGGACUUUACUUGCGCAGUAUAGGUGGGAGGCGUUGAUAAUAUUCUUGCGGGAUUAUUUGAGCCAUCAGUGAGAUACCACUCUUGUAAUGUUAGAUUUCUAACUUUGUAUCAUUAUCUGGUCAAAGGACAGUUUCAGGCGGGCAGUUUGACUGGGGCGGUCGCCUCCUAAACGGUAACGGAGGCGCACAAAGGUUUCCUCUGAACGGGUAGAAAUCGUAUCUAGAGUGUAAAGGCAUAAGGAAGCUUGACUGUGAGACCUACAAGUCGAGCAGGGACGAAAGUCGGUCUUAGUGAUCUGACGGUGCUGAGUGGAAAGGCCGUCACUCAACGGAUAAAAGUUACUCUAGGGAUAACAGGCUGAUCUCCCCCAAGAGUUCAUAUCGACGGGGAGGUUUGGCACCUCGAUGUCGGCUCAUCGCAUCCUGGGGCGGUAGUACGUCCCAAGGGUUGGGCUGUUCGCCCAUGAAAGCGGUACGCGAGCUGGGUUCAGAACGUCGUGGGACAGUUCGGUCCAUAUCCGGUGUAGGCGUUAGAAUAUUGAGAGGAGCCUUCUUUAGUACGAGAGGACCGAGAAGGACAUACCUCUGGUGUACCAGUUAUCGUGCCAACGGUAAACGCUGGGUAGCUAUGUAUGGAGUGGAUAACCGCUGAAAGCAUCUAAGUGGGAAGCCCACCUCAAGAUAAGUAUUCUC